GCCGGCUUAGCUCAGCUGGUAGAGCAGCGGUUUUGUAAACCGAAGGUCACGGGUUCGAUCCCUGUAGCCGGCA
rnacentral:tRNA from 2 species